rnacentral:rRNA from 1 species
GGCGGACGGGUGAGUAACGCGUGAGAAUCUAGCUCUAGGUCGGGGACAACCACUGGAAACGGUGGCUAAUACCGGAUAAGCCGUGAGGUAAAAAAAAAAAUUUAUUGCCUAGAGAUGAGCUCGCGUCUGAUUAGCUAGUUGGUGUGGUAAGAGCGCAAAAAAACCAAGGCGACGAUCAGUAGCUGGUCUGAGAGGAUGAUCAGCCACACCGGGACUGAGACACGGCCCAGACUCCUACGGGAGGCAGCAGUGGGGAAUUUUCCGCAAUGGGCGAAAAAAGCCUGACGGAGCAAUACCGCGUGAGGGAGGAAGGCUCUUGGGUUUUUUUGUAAAAAAAAAAAAAAACCUCUUUUCUCAAGGAAUAAGAAAGUGAAGGUACUUGAGGAAUAAGCCCCCCAUCGGCUAACUCCGUGCCAGCAGCCGCGGUAAUACGGAGGAUGCAAGCGUUAUCCGGAAUGAUUGGGCGUAAAGGGUCCGCAGGUGGCAUUGCAAGUCUGCUGGGGGUUAAAGAUUGAGGCUUAACCUCAUAA